rnacentral:siRNA from 1 species
UACUGUACAGAUAUAGACCACUGU